rnacentral:rRNA from 11 species
GGUAAACGGCGGCCGUAACAAUAACGGUCCUAAGGUAGCGAAAUUCCUUGUCGGGUAAGUUCCGACCUGCACGAAUGGUGUAACGACUUGGGCACUGUCUCGGCCAUGAGCUCGGUGAAAUUGUGGUAUCGGUGAUGACGCCGAUUACCCGCAGCGGGACGAAAAGACCCCGUGAACCUUUACUACAGCUUGGCACUGAACAUUGAACCUACAUGUGUAGGAUAGGUGGGAGGCUUUGAAGCACAGUCGCUAGAUUGUGUGGAGCCGUCCUUGAAAUACCACCCUUGUAUGUUUGAUGUUCUAACAUUGUUCCCUUAUCGGGAAUGUGGACAGUGUCUGGUGGGUAGUUUGACUGGGGCGGUCUCCUCCCAAAUAGUAACGGAGGAGCACGAAGGUUAGCUAAUCACGGUCGGACAUCGUGAGGUUAGUGCAAUGGCAUAAGCUAGCUUAACUGCGAGACAGACACGUCGAGCAGGUACGAAAGUAGGUCAUAGUGAUCCGGUGGUUCUGUAUGGAAGGGCCAUCGCUCAACGGAUAAAAGGUACUCCGGGGAUAAC